rnacentral:lncRNA from 1 species
GAAACAGAGAGGAAGAUGGAAAUACUGAAGCAGAGACAGUUUGUCAAUGAAUUCUGCACUGUGUCUAUCAUCUAAGGCUUGAAGAAAUCUCCAGAGCCUUCCUACAGAGAGCUAAUCUCUCCUCUGCGUGCUGGGGCUACAGGACGAGCUCACAGGCCACCCAGCUGGACCUUCCUUUAAGUCGGGGACAUCACAACUCUCAUCACUCCAGAUUUUGAAGUCGUUCUGCAACAGACGUGCCCUGCAAGUUAUGGGCUGUGAUGGCUUUUGAAGGAUCUUUCUCAUCAGCCUACUGGAAAGAAAAAAUCCUGUCAGCAUAGAAACUGGAGCCACAUUUGGAUCUUGAACCUUGAAAUUCCUAUUUUUCCCAGUGAAGAGCAAGCAGUGUUAGAAUUUGGGGUCACCGGGUGAGGAUGCAAGAAAGGCGACAGAUGGUCAUCUUUCAGAUGUCUGCACAGA